rnacentral:tRNA from 1 species
GGAUAUAGUUCAGUUGGUAGAAUGUUUGCCUUGAAUGCAUAAGGCCCUUAGUUCAAUCCCCAGCCCCA